rnacentral:rRNA from 1 species
UUUUCAUCAGACAAUCUGUGUGAGCACUGCAAAGUACGCUUCUUUAAGGUAAGGAGGUGAUCCAACCGCAGGUUCCCCUACGGUUACCUUGUUACGACUUCACCCCAGUCAUGAAUCACAAAGUGGUAAGCGCCCUCCCGAAGGUUAAGCUACCUACUUCUUUUGCAACCCACUCCCAUGGUGUGACGGGCGGUGUGUACAAGGCCCGGGAACGUAUUCACCGUGGCAUUCUGAUCCACGAUUACUAGCGAUUCCGACUUCAUGGAGUCGAGUUGCAGACUCCAAUCCGGACUACGACGCACUUUAUGAGGUCCGCUUGCUCUCGCGAGGUCGCUUCUCUUUGUAUGCGCCAUUGUAGCACGUGUGUAGCCCUGGUCGUAAGGGCCAUGAUGACUUGACGUCAUCCCCACCUUCCUCCAGUUUAUCACUGGCAGUCUCCUUUGAGUUCCCGGCCGGACCGCUGGCAACAAAGGAUAAGGGUUGCGCUCGUUGCGGGACUUAACCCAACAUUUCACAACACGAGCUGACGACAGCCAUGCAGCACCUGUCUCACGGUUCCCGAAGGCACAUUCUCAUCUCUGAAAACUUCCGUGGAUGUCAAGACCAGGUAAGGUUCUUCGCGUUGCAUCGAAUUAAACCACAUGCUCCACCGCUUGUGCGGGCCCCCGUCAAUUCAUUUGAGUUUUAACCUUGCGGCCGUACUCCCCAGGCGGUCUACUUAACGCGUUAGCUCCGGAAGCCACGCCUCAAGGGCACAACCUCCAAGUAGACAUCGUUUACGGCGUGGACUACCAGGGUAUCUAAUCCUGUUUGCUCCCCACGCUUUCGCACCUGAGCGUCAGUCUUUGUCCAGGGGGCCGCCUUCGCCACCGGUAUUCCUCCAGAUCUCUACGCAUUUCACCGCUACACCUGGAAUUCUACCCCCCUCUACAAGACUCAAGCCUGCCAGUUUCGAAUGCAGUUCCCAGGUUGAGCCCGGGGAUUUCACAUCCGACUUGACAGACCGCCUGCGUGCGCUUUACGCCCAGUAAUUCCGAUUAACGCUUGCACCCUCCGUAUUACCGCGGCUGCUGGCACGGAGUUAGCCGGUGCUUCUUCUGCGGGUAACGUCAAUUGCUGCGGUUAUUAACCACAACACCUUCCUCCCCGCUGAAAGUACUUUACAACCCGAAGGCCUUCUUCAUACACGCGGCAUGGCUGCAUCAGGCUUGCGCCCAUUGUGCAAUAUUCCCCACUGCUGCCUCCCGUAGGAGUCUGGACCGUGUCUCAGUUCCAGUGUGGCUGGUCAUCCUCUCAGACCAGCUAGGGAUCGUCGCCUUGGUGAGCCGUUACCUCACCAACAAGCUAAUCCCAUCUGGGCACAUCUGAUGGCAAGAGGCCCGAAGGUCCCCCUCUUUGGUCUUGCGACGUUAUGCGGUAUUAGCCACCGUUUCCAGUAGUUAUCCCCCUCCAUCAGGCAGUUUCCCAGACAUUACUCACCCGUCCGCCACUCGUCAGCAAAGCAGCAAGCUGCUUCCUGUUACCGUUCGACUUGCAUGUGUUAGGCCUGCCGCCAGCGUUCAAUCUGAGCCAUGAUCAAACUCUUCAAUUUAAAAGUUUGAUGCUCAAUGAAUUAAACUUCGUAAUGAAUUACGUGUUCACUCUUGAGACUUGGUAUUCAUUUUUCGU